rnacentral:rRNA from 1 species
UCGAAACGGUUCUGACGUGCAAAUCGAUCGUCAGACUUGGGUAUAGGGGCGAAAGACUAAUCGAACUAUCUAGUAGCUGGUUCCUUCGCAAAGGGGCUUACUGUUGCAUUUUGCACGAGUAGCACUGGCAGGCGUGCGGUGCCAGCUGCCUGGUACAUUUGACGGUGCUGCUCUUUGGGUGGUUAUCGGAUGUGCUAGAUGGUGGCGAGUGCACUCGUACGGCUGGAGUAGGUGCGGAUGCUUUGAGUGCAAGGGUGCUGGCUGCCCUCGUUGUCAGUUGUUCAAUGUGCUUGCACAGCGGCUCUGACGCGUUUGUAUGCUGGUGCUUUUUGCCCAUUCGUAGCUGCCAGUGAACAAGUCGGCGACCUACCCGACCCGUCUUGAAACACGGACCAAGGAGUCUAACAUGUACGCAAGUCGUAGAGUGUAUGAAACUCGAAGGCGCAAUGAAAGUGAAAUCUUUAGUGACACAGGAUUCGUGAACAUUAGUUCCCGACGCACUGUGGCCCCGUUCCUAUGGCAUGUCCAUGGAGCGGCGGUAGAGCGUACAUGUUGGGACCCGAAAGAUGGUGAACUAUGCCUGAGCAGGCGAAGCCAGAGGAAACUCUGGUGCAGGCUCGAACCGGUUCUGAUGUGCAAAUCGAUCGUCGACUUGAGUAUCUCGUCGAAAGACUAUGCGAAUUUUCUUCUAGGUGGUUCUAUUCACAA